rnacentral:rRNA from 1 species
CCUACGGGGGGCUGCAGUGGGGAAUAUUGCACAAUGGGGGAAACCCUGAUGCAGCGACGCCGCGUGAGUGAAGAAGUAUUUCGGUAUGUAAAGCUCUAUCAGCAGGGAAGAAAAUGACGGUACCUGAGUAAGAAGCCCCGGCGAACGACGUGCCAGCAGCCGCGGUAAUACGGAGGGGGCAAGCGUGAUCCGGAUUUACUGGGUGUAAAGGGAGCGUAGACGGUGAUGCAAGUCAGAAGUGAAAGCCCGGGGCUCAACUCCGGGACUGCUUUUGAAACGGUGUAACUGGAGUGCAGGAGAGGUAAGCGGAAUUCCUGGUGUAGCGGUGAAAUGCGUAGAUAUCAGGAGGAACACCAGUGGCGAAGGCGGCUUACUGGACUGUAACUGACGUUGCGGCUCGAAAGCGUGGGGAGCAAACAGGAUUAGAUACCCGAGUAGUC